UGGGGGAUAUUGCACAAUGGGCGAAAGCCUGAUGCAGCGACGCCGCGCGGGGGAUGAAGGCCUUCGGGUUGUAAACUUCUUUUGCUCUGAACAAGGCAUGCCAAUGGGUGUGUUGAGUGUAGGGGUUGAUUAGCGCCGGCUAACUACGUGCCAGCAGCCGCGGUAAUACGUAGGGCGCGAGCGUUGUCCGGAAUUAUUGGGCGUAAAGGGCUUGUAGGUGGCUGGUUGCGUCUGUCGUGAAAGCUCAUGGCUUAACUGUGGGUUUGCGGUGGGUACGGGCUGGCUUGAGUGCAGUAGGGGAGGCUGGAAUUCCUGGUGUAGCGGUGGAAUGCGCAGAUAUCAGGAGGAAUACCGGUGGCGAAGGCGGGUCUCUGGGCUGUUACUGACACUGAGGAGCGAAAGCAUGGGGAGCGAACAGG
rnacentral:rRNA from 1 species